rnacentral:rRNA from 1 species
UACGUAGGGGGCAAGCGUUGUCCGGAAUCAUUGGGCGUAAAGAGCGUGUAGGCGGCCAGAAAAGUCCGCUGUGAAAACUCGAGGCUCAACUUCGAGCUGUCGGUGGAAACUUUCUGGCUAGAGUCCGGAAGAGGAGAAUGGAAUUCCUGGUGUAGCGGUGAAAUGACGCAGAUAUCAGGAAGAACACCGGUGGCGAAGGCGGUUCUCUGGGCAUUACCUGACGCUGAGGAGCGAAAGUGUGGGGAGCGAACAGG